CGGAUAGAACGAUCCCUAUUUGCUUAUACUACUAACGAUAUUUCAGGGUUAAAUUGCGCGCUUGCUUUAAGCGCGUCAAUUUUUGGCGCCGUUGCCGGGGAUUGAAAAAUCACUUGCUAAAUUGUGUCAUUUAUUGUAUAUAUUUGUUGUAUAUAAAUUGUUUAAAACUUAGUUUAAAUAUUAUUUAUAUUAUUGAACACGAAUUUUAAUUGUAGGUUGUAAAUUGAGAGGAAUAGGUGAAGUCUCUUUUGUUAAUAUUGGCCUAAACCCCUUAUUGGUACCUAGCUCAGGUCCCUUAAGGUUGAGGGCGGCCUUUAUUUACACUUGUUGAACUGUCUUCACACUUAUGAACUUUCUCAUCUUAGUAAGAAAGCCUAUGUGAAAUGGUGUCUAGGAAGGGGACAACGUUCAUGACGGGUUUUUGAAUCCAGAAGUGCUUGCAAAUGGGCCUAAACCACUAUGUGGGAGUAGCUCAUGCCAAAAUGGAUUUUUCCUCUCGUGUUCGUCCUCCCCCACCUGGCCAUUUCAGUAAGGUUGCCCAAACGAUUUGAAAGGGAGUUUGUGUCUAGGCGACUAUACUUGGGCCGCACGUCCACUUGAUUUACCGCUUGGAAUUUGAUUCGAUAUCAAUAAUGUUUAUAAUAAAAGAAAUACUUGUGAAUACUCUAUACGUGUAAAUUA
rnacentral:lncRNA from 1 species